UUUCCGGUCUGAGGCUCGGCUCCAGAAAGCGCGAGGCCUAAUUCCUAAAUCCCAACGGGAAAAAAAUGACGUCCUGCUCUCGCCGCCUCGCCCCACCCCUCCCCCUCCUCCUCCUCCGCGUGCUCCGCUCCUAAUGGCGGUGGACAGCGUCGCCCACGGCCGCGCGAUCAUCUCCGCCACCGCCCUCGAAGGUCGCCGAGCCUCGCCCAAUCUCCGCCCUGAGGGAAAUCCAUCUCUCUCGAUCCGUGUUUCUGCCUUCUAACAUUUGGGUGGAUUCUUUGAGAGAUGGCGGACUCCGUGGAUGUGGUGUUGGAGUUCUUGAGGAAGAACCGGUUUGCGAAGGCUGAGGCUGCUUUGCGAGGGGAGCUUAAUAGCCGGCCGGACUUGAAUGGGACGCUUCAGAGACACCUUUCUGAGGAGAAAGAUGAAGUGGGAGAAGAUACUGGAGGAGUUAGUAAAGCGGGACGGCAAGGUACAGGCAUGCGGAGUGGAGAGAUGUCCAAGGAGUUUAUUGUCAAGGAGAUUGAAGUAGGUGGCAUUGGUAAUGGGUCCGAAAGCAAGAAAGGCUCUAGUUCUAAUCAGGGCCAAGGCACAACUGAUCUGUACCCUUGGAAUUUUGGUUCUGCUAAUAGUGCUUCCAAUUCUAUUUCAAGGGCAAGUGGUGCCACUGCCAACAACUUUGCAGAGCUCUUGAUAUCUGAGGAACCUAGGCAUCACCGUGGUUUGUUGGCAUUAGAAAAGAGGAAUUCUGCUCUAGAAACUGAUCCUGACGCGUCUGCAGAGCAAAGAAUUUCUUCUAUCGGGGGUAAAAGUAAAACUGAGAUUGAAGUGAAGCCUGAAGUCAGUCAAAUGAGUGUUUCUAAGGCUGAAAAUACUUACUCCAAAGACCAUUUGCUAGAUAGCCUGUGGUUGAAAAGUGAGGAGCCAUCAAAGGAUUGCUCCAUGAAGACAGUUUUUCCAUUUCCUGUGGACAAUGCCUCAUCUAGUUAUGAUGGUGCUUCAGGCCAUGGUAAUGAUAGAAAAGAGUUAAACAAGAAAGUGGAAAGCAAUGAUAAUAUAGAAGUCACAAAGGAACAGCUAGAUAAUGUGGGUAGGCCAUGCUUCUCAGGGAAGUCUCAAGAAAGUACAGAGCAAAAGAAUACCAAGAGUUUUGAUUUACUGCAUAUUGGUAAAAACCAAAGGGAGGAGCUACCAAGGCUGCCUCCUGUAAGGCUUAAGUCCGAAGACAAGUUAGUAAAUCUUCAUUUGGAGGAAAAGGUUGACCAUCAGGCAUCUGGAACAAAGCUCUCAGGUCCAGACAACACCUUUAUGAUUGGGUCUUUUCUUGAUGUCCCUAUUGGGCAAGAUAUCAACUCUUCAGGUGGGAAACGAACAAUUGGAAGCAGCUGGCUAUCUGUAAGUCAAGGAAUUGCUGAGGAUGCUUCUGACUUGGUAUCUGGUUUUGCUACUGUUGGUGACGACUCAGUUGAUUACCUAAAUGAGUAUUGGGAUUCUGAUGAAUAUGAUGAUGAUGAUGAUGUUGGGUACAUGCGACAGCCUAUUGAAGAUGAAUCCUGGUUUCUAGCACACGAGAUUGAUUAUCCAAGUGACAAUGAAAAGGGAGCAGGUCAUGGGAGUGUUCCUGAUCAGCACGAGCGUGUUCCAAGAAAGGAUGAGGAUGAUGAGCAUUCUUUUGCUGAAGAGGAUUCAUACUUAUCAGGGGAGCAGUAUUUACAUUCAAAAAACAUUGAACAAGUUGCUGGUUCAGAGGGACCAAUGGGACUGAGAAUGUCUGAAAUGUAUGGAAGAAGAGAUGAAAAUGAUUUGAUAGCUCAGUAUGAUGGGCAACUGAUGGACGUUGAAGAGCUAAAUUUGAUGCGUGCAGAACCUGUUUGGCAGGGCUUUGUUACCCAGGGUAAUGAACUUGUUAGGUUAGAAAAUGGGAAAGUCCUCAAUGAGUCUGAACGGGGUUAUCCUGAUGAUCCUUCUAUUGAAGAUGAUCAGCAUGGUUCAGUUAGGUCAAUUGGCUUGGGCAUGAACAGUGAUGCUGCUGAAAUUGGCAGUGAAGUCCGUGAAAGCUUGGUCGGAGGAAGUAGCGUGGGGGACAUAGAAUACAUUCAUGUACAUGAUGCUGGUAUAAGUGGCAGACGGCUCUCUCAAUAUGAUACAGACAAGAGCUACUUGAAUAGUUCUAAGAAGGAUAAAGUAAGGGGAAAUAAACAGGAUCCAGAUAACUUUAUUUUGGCUUCCGGAAAGGGUAGUCGCCUGCCAGAUGUGAGUUAUAUUGAUGGUGGGUUUUCUUUUCCACCACCUACAAGAACUGGAGAUGUGUUGGAGGCUGAUUCUGGUAAGUCCUUAUGGUCAACCAGGGGUAAUACUGUUGUCGAUGAUGAUGCUGGCGAAUGUGCAAAUGGCGUGGUUACAGAGGAUAUGCUUGCCACAUGGAGGCGAAGAAGCAACAAUUCUACUCCUCUAAGGAACCUCAGAGACGAGAAAACUUCUGAUCCUGUUAGAUCAUCAAGAAAUUCAACUGCAUCAUCAACCUCAAAUUACGCUUAUGCUGAAAGAGAGGAUAUUAAUGGACAAGAGUACAAAGCAAAUGAUGCUAGAGAAGAAGACCCUGGGACAACGCUUGAGGAUGAAGAAGCUGCUGCAUUGCAGGAGCAAGUAAGACAGAUAACAGCUCAGGAGGAGGAAUUUGAAAUCUUCAAUCUUAAGAUUGUGCAUAGAAAAAACAGAACUGGCUUCGAAGAAGAUAAAAAUUUCCAUGUUGUUCUAAAUUCAGUAAUUGCUGGACGUUAUCAUGUUACUGAAUACCUAGGAUCAGCAGCAUUCAGCAAAGCUAUUCAGGCACAUGACUUGCAUACAGGCAUGGAUGUUUGCGUGAAAAUUAUAAAGAAUAACAAAGAUUUUUUUGAUCAGAGCCUUGAUGAAAUUAAGCUUCUGAAAUUUGUUAGCAAGAAUGAUCCUGCUGACAAGUAUCACAUCUUGCGCUUGUAUGAUUAUUUCUAUUACCGGGAACACUUACUGAUAGUUUGUGAACUUCUCAAGGCAAACUUGUAUGAAUUCCACAAGUUUAACAGAGAAUCUGGAGGGGAGGUUUAUUUUACAAUGCCAAGAUUGCAGUCAAUAACUAUCCAAUGCCUGGAGGCACUUCAGUUUUUACAUGGUCUUGGUCUUAUUCAUUGUGACUUGAAGCCUGAGAAUAUAUUGGUGAAGAGCUAUAGUAGGUGUGAAGUAAAGGUCAUUGACCUUGGUAGUAGUUGCUUCGAAACGGAUCAUUUAUGUUCUUAUGUACAGUCACGAUCCUAUCGUGCACCUGAGGUUAUUCUGGGCCUCCCUUAUGAUAAAAAGAUAGAUAUAUGGUCACUUGGAUGCAUUCUGGCUGAACUCUGCACAGGAAAUGGAAUUUACAACUGGCUUACCAUGAACUACUACUAUAUCAUGGUUUUAAUAGCAUACUGUUCUCUUCCAAAAUGAUUCUCCAGCAACAUUACUUGCACGUGUGAUGGGAAUCAUAAGCCCUAUUGACCAGGACAUGCUUGCAAAGGGGCGAGAUACAUACAAAUAUUUCACAAAAAACCACAUGUUAUACGAAAAGAAUCAGGAAAUCAAUAGGCUAGAGUAUUUGAUUCCAAAAAAGACAUCGCUGCGACAUCGGCUGCGUAUGGGUGAUCAAGGUUUUGUUGAUUUUGUUGCUUAUCUUCUUGAAAUAAACCCAAGGAAGCGUCCAUCGGCAUCUGAAGCAUUGAAGCAUCCAUGGCUCUCUUUUCCUUAUGAACCAAUAUCCUCGUGAACCGUCUUCACUGAUGAAUGCAUUAUGCUGCUGGAGAAUGUUUUUGUCUGCCUCAUCAGCGCAUGCUAAAUUAUGACAUUAAGAUUGCAGACCUGUCAGAUUCUACCAGGACUGGAUAAGCAUAUCGAAGCAGCAACAGCUGCCUCAAGAAAAAGCUCAGGGUCUUAUCUUCUCAUGGGUUUGCUGCUUCGAAGGUUGUUUGAUCACAUUGACAGCAGGUGCCGACAGUCCUCUUGGUGCUGCAGAGCUGUGUUGUAGUCUAACUUUUGUUUGUUGUAACCAGAAUGUAAUUGGGCAUGCACUGAUUUGUGUCUUCACCUGGAUAAGGACUGUCCUGUUGUAUAUGAUGUGAUUAUUAUUUGAGGCCUUUCAGUGUUGGCUGUGCCCCGGUUCUGACUUGUGUUUCUUUAGAGGUCUUGUUAACAGUUUUUUUUUUGGGGGAAUAUUGGCCCGAAAAAAAGAAUCAAAAGUUGAGUGUACUAUCAUCCGGUUCAACAUUUUUAACUGCAACCAUCAUGGAAUUAGCAGUGAGCGUUAUAAUGUCUGACGUGAGUUUUCC